rnacentral:sRNA from 1 species
GUGCAGUGAGCUUCUUAUGCUGCCCAGAGCAAAACGAGGACGAAGUGCAGAAUGCCUACAUACUACCAGGCACUCCAGAAAGUCUGAAAGAUCUAGCAUCCAAAAACAGACUAGGAAAGGCACUGCCUCUGAUGCAGAAAGAAUGCACCGACAGAGAAGUCCAACACAAUCUCCUCCAGCAGACACAUCGUUCAGCAGUCGCAGGGGAAGACAGCUCCCACAAGUGCCAGUGAGAAGCAGCAGUAUAGAACAAGAGUCGGGCCACAAAAAGUUAAAAAGUACCAUUCAGAGAAGCACAGAAACAGGCAUGGCAGCUGAAAUGAGAAAGAUGGUAAGGCAGCCGAGCCGAGAGUCUACUGAUGGCAGCAUCAACAGUUACAGCUCUGAGGGCAAUUUAAUAUUUCCUGGAGUGCGACUGGGAGCUGACAGUCAAUUCAGUGAUUUUCUUGAUGGAUUGGGACCAGCCCAGCUUGUUGGCCGCCAAACCCUUGCCACCCCUGCAAUGGGUGAUAUACAAAUUGGAAUGGAGGACAAAAAGGGCCAAUUAGAAGUGGAAGUCAUUAGAGCACGAAGCCUCACACAAAAGCCUGGUUCCAAAUCUACACCUGCUCCAUAUGUCAAAGUAUAUCUUUUGGAAAAUGGGGCCUGUAUAGCCAAGAAGAAGACAAGAAUUGCACGAAAAACCCUUGAUCCUUUGUAUCAGCAGUCUCUGGUUUUUGAUGAAAGUCCACAGGGUAAAGUUCUUCAGGUGAUUGUCUGGGGAGACUAUGGCAGAAUGGACCACAAAUGCUUUAUGGGUGUGGCUCAGAUCUUGUUGGAAGAACUCGACCUGUCCAGCAUGGUGAUUGGAUGGUACAAAUUGUUCCCACCGUCCUCACUGGUGGAUCCCACACUCACUCCCCUCACCCGCCGGGCUUCCCAGUCAUCUCUGGAAAGUUCAACUGGGCCUCCCUGUAUUCGAUCAUAGUGAACUCAUACCAGAGUCAUUCCAAUAAAACUCUACUUUUCAGGAUAAUAAUCUGAACCAGAUAUUUCAUGAUCAAAAGCAUUGUUGGAGACAGACAAUCAACUUGUGUUUUGCCUGUAGUAGUUUUUCAAUAAUAUGUCCCAAUUGUUAUUUAAAACAUGGCUUCAUAUGACAGAACAAGGCAAUCUAUCAAAUUUACAGGAAGAAUCAACAUGCUGGUGAGAGUCACUGAUGCUUCUAACAAAUAGAAAAAGAGGAAACUAAAUCCACGCAUACACUUAACACACACACAUGCGCACACACACACACACACCAAAUUGAACAAACUGGAAACUCUCACUCUGUGAAAAGUUGUAUUCUACACGUUUCUGCACAGACCACAAACAGUGUUAUUUCCCUGAUGUUUGAAUUGUUUUGUUCUUUUGUGUGUUUUGUUUAUUUGUGUGUUGUUUGUUGGUUUUCGUUUCUUCAGUUUUUGUUUUGUUUUCACCACAUCUGUUAUUUCCACUAGUUUUUUUGGCUGUGUCAUGACAGGCCUCAUGAUGCU